rnacentral:rRNA from 1 species
AGAGUUUGAUUCUGGCUCAGGACGAACGCUGGCGGCGUGCUUAACACAUGCAAGUCGAACGAUGAAGCGGUGCUUGCACCGUGGAUUAGUGGCGAACGGGUGAGUAAUACGUGAGUGACCUACCUUUGACUCUGGGAUAAGCCUGGGAAACUGGGUCUAAUACCGGAUACGACCAAUCUCUGCAUGGGGUGUUGGUGGAAAGCGUUAUGGAGUGGUUUUAGAUGGGCUCACGGCCUAUCAGCUUGUUGGUGAGGUAAUGGCUUACCAAGGCGACGACGGGUAGCCGGCCUGAGAGGGUGACCGGCCACACUGGGACUGAGACACGGCCCAGACUCCUACGGGAGGCAGCAGUGGGGAAUAUUGCACAAUGGGCGCAAGCCUGAUGCAGCGACGCCGCGUGAGGGAUGACGGCCUUCGGGUUGUAAACCUCUGUUAGCAUCGAAGAAGCGAAAGUGACGGUAGGUGCAGAGAAAGCGCCGGCUAACUACGUGCCAGCAGCCGCGGUAAUACGUAGGGCGCGAGCGUUGUCCGGAAUUAUUGGGCGUAAAGAGCUUGUAGGCGGUUUGUCGCGUCUGCUGUGAAAGGCCGGGGCUUAACUCCGUGUAUUGCAGUGGGUACGGGCAGACUAGAGUGCAGUAGGGGAGACUGGAAUUCCUGGUGUAGCGGUGGAAUGCGCAGAUAUCAGGAGGAACACCGAUGGCGAAGGCAGGUCUCUGGGCUGUAACUGACGCUGAGAAGCGAAAGCAUGGGGAGCGAACAGGAUUAGAUACCCUGGUAGUCCAUGCCGUAAACGUUGGGCACUAGGUGUGGGGGACAUUCCACGUUUUCCGCGCCGUAGCUAACGCAUUAAGUGCCCCGCCUGGGGAGUACGGCCGCA